rnacentral:rRNA from 1 species
CCUACGGGAGGCAGCAGUGAGGAAUAUUGGUCAAUGGGCGGGAGCCUGAACCAGCCAAGUCGCGUGAAGGAAGAAGGUACUUAGUAUUGUCAACUUCUUUUGUCGGGGAACAAAGGCGGAGACGCGUCUCCGGAUGAGUGUACCCGAAGAAAAAGCAUCGGCUAACUCCGUGCCAGCAGCCGCGGUAAUACGGAGGAUGCGAGCGUUAUCCGGAUUUAUUGGGUUUAAAGGGUGCGCAGGCGGGAGAUCAAGUCAGCGGUAAAAUGUCGGGGCUCAACCCCGGCCGGCCGUUGAAACUGGUGUUCUUGAGUGAGCGAGAAGUAUGCGGAAUGCGUGGUGUAGCGGUGAAAUGCAUAGAGAUCACGCAGAACACCGAUUGCGAAGGCAGCAUACCGGCGCUCAACUGACGCUCAUGCACGAAAGCGUGGGUAGCGAACAGGAUUAGAUACCCCAGUAGUC